rnacentral:lncRNA from 1 species
AUUCACCCACAUGGUCCUUCGAGGUGCCGCCGCCGCCGCCCGACCUGCGCCUUCGCGCCACUUCGCGCCCUCGGGCGAGGCCGAGGGGGUGGGGACGACUACCGCAGCGCCGCCGGGGCUCGCGCUCCUCCGCGAAGCUCUCCUCGCGGGGCGGGCCGGCCGGCCGCACCCCCGGCCUGGGGCCUCCGGUCGUAGUAAAGCGCAGGCGGGCGGGGAGGCGGGAGCAGGAGCCCGCGGCCGGCCAGCCGAAGAUGGUGGCGGCUACUCCUCCUGUCAUACACGUGGACCUAACUGCACCAGUAGCUUUUCUGAGAAUACUUGCUGAAAAGGAAGUUUUCUGGAAUGGUAUUUGCUAAGUGGAAGCCAGAAGAGGAGGAAAAUGUUUUGCCACGUGGAUGUGAAGAUUUCCUCUAAAAGGUACACAUGGACUAAAUUGCCUUUAAAUGUUCCAAAAUUAGUUCUCAUUUAUUUGCAGUCUCAUUUUGUUUUGUUUUUUUUCUCUAUGUGUCAAUCCAUUUGGGAGAGGCCAGCCAUUGGAAGAGCCACCACUUCCAGUGCUAGUUGGAUGGUUGGUUAUGAUUGCCUUCUGUAAAGAAUUCUUAAGGCAUAAAUACGUGUCUAAAUGGACCUCAUAUCUUUGAGAUAAUUAAACUAAUUUUUUCUUCCCCAUUAGGGAUUAUGCUGAAUUUGUAUGGUUUAUAGUUGUUAGAGUUUGAGGUGUUAAUUCUAAUUAUCUAUUUCAAAUUUAGCAGGAAAAAAGAGAACAUCACCUUGUAAAACUGAAGAUUGUGACCAGUCAGAAUAAUGUCAAAGUGCUUACAGUGCAGGUAGUGAUAUGUGCAUCUACUGCAGUGAAGGCACUUGUAGCAUUAUGGUGACAGCUGCCUCGGGAAGCCAAGUUGGGCUUUAAAGUGCAGGGCCUGCUGAUGUUGAGUGCUUUUUGUUCUAAGGUGCAUCUAGUGCAGAUAGUGAAGUAGAUUAGCAUCUACUGCCCUAAGUGCUCCUUCUGGCAUAAGAAGUUAUGUAUUCAUCCAAUAAUUCAAGCCAAGCAAGUAUAUAGGUGUUUUAAUAGUUUUUGUUUGCAGUCCUCUGUUAGUUUUGCAUAGUUGCACUACAAGAAGAAUGUAGUUGUGCAAAUCUAUGCAAAACUGAUGGUGGCCUGCUAUUUCCUUCAAAUGAAUGAUUUUUACUAAUUUUGUGUACUUUUAUUGUGUCGAUGUAGAAUCUGCCUGGUCUAUCUGAUGUGACAGCUUCUGUAGCACUAAAGUGCUUAUAGUGCAGGUAGUGUUUAGUUAUCUACUGCAUUAUGAGCACUUAAAGUACUGCUAGCUGUAGAACUCCAGCUUCGGCCUGUCGCCCAAUCAAACUGUCCUGUUACUGAACACUGUUCUAUGGUUAGUUUUGCAGGUUUGCAUCCAGCUGUGUGAUAUUCUGCUGUGCAAAUCCAUGCAAAACUGACUGUGGUAGUGAAAAGUCUGUAGAAAAGUAAGGGAAACUCAAACCCCUUUCUACACAGGUUGGGAUCGGUUGCAAUGCUGUGUUUCUGUAUGGUAUUGCACUUGUCCCGGCCUGUUGAGUUUGGUGGGGAUUGUGACCAGAAGAUUUUGAAAAUUAAAUAUUACUGAAGAUUUCGACUUCCACUGUUAAAUGUACAAGAUACAUGAAAUAUUAAAGAAAAUGUGUAACUUUUUGUGUAAAUACAUCUUGUCUUGUUUUCAUUCAAAAACAUUUCACUUUUGGGGUUGCGUGUCAGAUUUGGCAGUAUAAAUUCUGGCUAUAUUUUUUGUUGUUAGAUUUAUUUGGCUGUUAAGUAUUGCGAUAUGACUAAACAUACUGUAUACCUGAUGAUCAUCUGUAAAGUUAGAGUAUAUCUUUUUGCUUUCUUUGGAGUUAGUGUUAUUCCAGGAUAUUUUACUUAAUCUAAAAGUUAAUUUAUGUUGCUCAUAUAUUACUCAAGUAUUUAAAUUUAGAGAGAAUGCCGCUCUGUUUAAAGCAAUGUGUAAAGAUGAGUUUUUUUAAGCAUGGAAUUUAGGGUUGGGGUACAAUUUGUUUCUAUUAAGCAAGUACCAGUUUACCAAUACAUGAGUAACUGAAGUGUAACUGUUAAAUGCUUGUAUACUAGUUUUUCUUUCUGAUUGUCAGUGAUUUAUAAGCUAUAAAUGACCAAGGUCCUCAGACUGCUUUUAGCAUCUGCAACUUAAAAAAAUGGGAGUUAGAAAAAGAACAAAUGCUAAAUAGAGUAACAGUUAAAUGUAUGUGUACACUCUUCCCAAAUGCCAAGAGUGCA